rnacentral:tRNA from 1 species
GCCUCUUUAGCUCAGUGGUUAGAGCACUGGUCCUGUAAACCAGGGGUCUAGAGUUCGAAUCUCUGACGAGGCU